rnacentral:rRNA from 1 species
UACAGAGGUCUCAAGCGUUGUUCGGAUUCAUUGGGCGUAAAGGGUGCGUAGGCGGCGCGGUAAGUCGGGUGUGAAAUCUCGGAGCUUAACUCCGAAACUGCAUUCGAUACUGCCGUGCUUGAGGACUGGAGAGGAGACUGGAAUUUACGGUGUAGCGGUGAGAUGCGCAGACAUCAGGAGGAACACCGAUGGCGAAGGCAGGUCUCUGGGCCACUACUGACGCUGAGAAGCGAAAGCAUGGGGAGCGAACAGG